GUUACACUGAGCUGGGGAGGUUCCGCCACCAGUGUCUGCUCAAAGUGGUUGGGGGAUGGGGUACUUCCCACUUAGGAGGGAAGGGGGGAAUAUGAACAGGUGAGUGGCCACAGUGGGGCUGAGACCCGUAGACAGUGGGACCAGCGGGGGCUUCCCAAAUCCUGGGCCCUCAGACUGCAGGAUCAGAAGAGGGAAAAAACCCCAUAGGACCGGCUCAGCUUCCCGAGGCUGGAGGGUGAGGCUGCCCCCUAGUGGCUGAAGUUCACGACCGGACGGACGUUCAAGGAGUCCCGGGCGUUCCAAUGCUUUCUCCCAGGAAGUGGGCUCUGCAGGCUGGAGUUGCCCUAGUGUCAGGGUGAAGGCUGGGAGCCAACGUCUAAUCAUCAAGGUGAUGGAACUCUGAGGGCUGAAGGGAUGUUAAGGCACUGAGGGCCAGAGCACUUGUUCUCAUCAGCAUCAUCAUCAGCCUCAGCAUCAUUGUCACCGUAAUCAGCAUCAUUGGCAUCAGCAUCAUCAGCAUCACCACCCUCAUCAUCAUCAGUAGCAUCAAUAUCACUAUCAUCAGCAUUAGCAUCAGCAUCAUCAGCAGCAUCAGCACCAUCAGCAUCAUCGUCAUCAGGAUCAUCAGCAUCAUCAGCAGCAUCACCACCAUUAUCAGCAUCAGGAUCACCAUCUAACAUUUUUUGAGGGCUUCAAAUGCACAAGGCACUGGGCUGAUUUCUUUACAUGCAUUGUCUCACUUGUUUCCAACAAUGACAGCCCCCAAAGUUAAGUAUUAUUAUUGUUAAUAUCCUCAUUUACAGAUAUAUAAACUGAAACUUAGAGAGAUUAAGCAACUUGCUUAGGGCCACAGAGCUAUGUUAAGUGUAAUUUUCAAAAAUGUAAAUCACAAUUCUCAGGAAAAUAUAAAAUGAUACCAUGUCAAAGAUUUUAUUUAACUCAAUAACCAAUGAGAGAACCAAUAAGAAGUUUAAACUUAUUCAAAGAGCAUUAGAGAAUUUAGAUAUAUGCAGGCAAUUUAACAACAAAAAAAUAAGGCGAGUAUGAUAGGCUAAAUAAUGUUCCCUCUGGAAAAAAAUCAAUCCUGAUCCCUGGAAUUUCUGAAUAUGUUACUUAUGUUACUUUAUAAAUAGAAAGGACUUUACAGAUGUGAUUAAAUUAUGGGUUUUGAGAUGGGGAGAUUAUUCUGGAUUAUCUGGGUAGGUCCAAUGUAAUCACAUGCAUUCUUAUAGGAGGGAGACAGGAGUGUCAGCUGAGAGAGAAGACAUAAGAACGAAAGCGGAGGUUGGAGUGAUGUGCUUUGAAGACGGAGGAAGAGGCCAUAAGCCAAGGAAUGUAGGUUAUCCCUAGAAGCUGGAAAAGACAAGAAAACAAAUCCUUUUCUAGAGCCUCCAGAAGAAAAGGGCUCUGCUUACACCUUGAUUUUAGCCCAGUGAAACAGAUUUUGAACUUCUGACAUCUAGUACUGUAAGAUAAUACAUUUGCAUGAUUUUUACACCCUAAAAUGUGUUACAUUGUUAUAUCAGCAGUAGAAAUUUAAUACCAAAAGAUUACUGGGUGAGAUAGAAAGCUAGUUAAUGUCCAACAGGGCUAUCAACUAUAACCCUUGGAGCUAAUUCUUCUACCAGAGUUAAAUUAUUUGCUUCUCUGCGGGACCAAAAUUUACAAGUAAACCUCUGCCGUUAUGGAGAUGAAAAUUGACUAGUCAGUAGAAAUCCCAGUUCUGCACUGGCAGAUCACUCAAUAAUCUCUUCUGCACGUUUCCAAGUUUAGAAUACUCUUUUGGACAGUUAGGAAGUCGAAGCACUGAGAUUUGAACCAGGCUCUUCUAAGUCCAGAAUCUGUGCUCUUAAUCACUAAGGAACAUAUUUUUUUAUUAGCAUUAUUUCAUAGACUAGCAGGACAAUCAGUGGCAAAAAAAAUUGUCCAUGGAAACUGAGAACACAGCUUAAAGAUUGCCAGGUUUGGGCGUGGUGGCUCACACCUUUAAUUCCAGUGUUUUGGGAGGCUGAGGCGGGAGGAUUGCUUGAGGCUAGGAGUUCAAGAGCAGCCUGGGCAACAGGGUGAGACCUCCAUCUUUACAACAAAAAAAAAAUAGCCAAGUGUGAUGGUGUGGACCUGUGGUCCUAGCUACUCAGGAGGUGGAGGUGGGAGGAUUUUGUGAGCCCAAGUGUUCAAGGUUAUAGUGAGCUAUGGUUGCACUCUAGCCUGGGUGACAGAGAAAGACCCUGUCUCUAAAGAAAAAUAAAAAAAAAAAGAGUGCCAGUUUGAUUCACCAACUCCUUCAUGGUGCUUCCCCCAAACAGAGGACCACAGAAAGAACCUUCUCCCUCCAUAACAUGGAAAUUCCUACACUAGCUCUCUGAAAACUUAGAGCCAAGCUUUCAGUAGGUGGUUCCUGGUUGGAGUAACUUGAAGGCUGGGGUGGGAAACUAAAAUACACCUCCCCACAACUGUUCCCUUCCCUGCUCAAGAGUAAAUGGUCUUGACAAGCCCUUCUUUAAAACUGUGUUACUUGGUUAGACAUCAAAACACUUUGCCUAGUAAAUGCUUGAAAAAGGUUUGCAUUGCAUUUGGUUUGGUGGAAGGGCAAAGUAGACUUUGGGAGUGAGAAAAGUCAGGAGGGACAAAUGAGUGAGUUGUAUCAGGAACUAGCAUGGCAUUCUUAAGAGUCAUGCGGGCUGGGUGCAGUGGCUCACGCCUGUAAUCCCAGCAUUUUGGGAAGCCGAGGUGGGCAGAUCACGAG
rnacentral:lncRNA from 10 species